UAGGGAAUCUUCGGCAAUGGGGGGAACCCUGACCGAGCAACGCCGCGUGAGUGAAGAAGGUUUUCGGAUCGUAAAGCUCUGUUGUUAAGGAAGAACGAGUGUGAGAAUGGAAAGUUCAUGCUGUGACGGUACUUAACCAGAAAGGGACGGCUAACUACGUGCCAGCAGCCGCGGUAAUACGUAGGUCCCGAGCGUUGUCCGGAUUUAUUGGGCGUAAAGCGAGCGCAGGCGGUUAGAAAAGUCUGAAGUGAAAGGCAGUGGCUCAACCAUUGUAGGCUUUGGAAACUGUUUAACUUGAGUGCAGAAGGGGAGAGUGGAAUUCCAUGUGUAGCGGUGGAAUGCGCAGAUAUUAGGAAGAACACCGGUGGCGAAGGCGGCCUUCUGGGCCAUAACUGACGCUGAGGAGCGAAAGCUAGGGGAGCGAACAGG
rnacentral:rRNA from 1 species